rnacentral:rRNA from 1 species
CGUAUGUGGUUUAAUUCGAUGCAACGCGAAGAACCUUACCUGGGCUUGACAUCCCGGGAAUCCCCUGGAAACAGGGAGUGCCCUUCGGGAACCCGGUGACAGGUGCUGCAUGGCUGUCGUCAGCUCGUGUCGUGAGAUGUUGGGUUAAGUCCCGCAACGAGCGCAACCCUUGUCUUUAAUUGCCAUCAUUUAGUUGGGCACUUUAAAGAGACUGCCGGUGUUAAGCCGGAGGAAGGUGGGGAUGACGUCAAGUCCUCAUGGCCUUUAUGCCCAGGGCUACACACGUGCUACAAUGGGCGGUACAAAGAGAAGCAACCUCGCGAGGGUGAGCAAAUCUCAAAAAGCCGUUCUCAGUUCGGAUUGGAGUCUGCAACUCGACUCCAUGAAGUUGGAAUCGCUAGUAAUCGUGGAUCAGAACGCUACGGUGAAUACGUUCCCGGGCCUU